UGGGUUUGAAAUCAGUUAUUCAGCGAGUUUGCCUCGACUUUCUUCUUCUCAUAGUCCAACCCAUCGAUCAAUAGGAUUUCUAGAGAUUUUUUUUCUCUUGAUUGUGGCCAUGUAACAUUGUUAGGCCAAUUGCUAGUCUCUUUGCAUUUCAUCAACUCCAUUUUUCAUCAAAAACUAGAUGAGAAGAUAGUAAGUCGAGACAAUUGCUCAUAGUACAUUCAAUCUUGAUCAUCCCAAUAUAUCAUUGUAAGCUGAAGAUACUUGAACUACAACGAAGGUAAGAAGGAUGGUAUUUUGCUGAGGUGCUCGUCUCACCAUAACUGGAAGAGUAAUUUCUCUCUCUAUCUUUAUUGAAUCACCAAAAAAUUUGAUUAGAGAGGUGCCAAGCUUCUUUAAUCGAUCUGUAGACAAUCGCAUUCGGAAGAAAGCAUCGUAAAAUAAAAUAUCUGUUGAACUUUCAUUAUCUACGAGAAUCUUUUUUACAUUAUAAUUAGCGAUAGUCAUAGAAAUAACAAUAGCAUCAUCAUUAAGAGUUUGAACUCCUUGGAGAUCUUCAUUAGAAAAAAGAUCACAUUUCUCCUUGCUUUUCUUUUUGAGGAGUUCUUUGAAUAAUCUAUCCCC
rnacentral:lncRNA from 1 species